UACGUAGGCAGCGAGCGUUGUUCGGAAUUACUGGGCGUAAAGAGUGUGUAGGCGGUGCUCCCAGUCUGUUGUGAAAUCUCCCGGCUUAACUGGGAGGGUGCAGCGGAAACUAGAGUGCUAGAGGGUGGGAGAGGUAAGCGGAAUUCCUGGUGUAGCGGUGAAAUGCGUAGAUAUCGGGAGGAACACCAACGGCGAAAGCAGGGUCCUGGACUCGUACUGACGCUGAGGCGCGAAAGCCAGGGGAGCGAACGGG
rnacentral:rRNA from 1 species